UACAGAGGGUGCAAGCGUUAAUCGGAAUUACUGGGCGUAAAGGGCGCGUAGGUGGUUAUUUAAGUCAGAUGUGAAAUCCCUGGGCUUAACCUAGGAAUUGCAUUUGAAACUAGAUGGCUAGAGUAUGGUAGAGGGAAGUGGAAUUUCCGGUGUAGCGGUGAAAUGCGUAGAUAUCGGAAGGAACACCAGUGGCGAAGGCGACUUCCUGGACCAUUACUGACACUGAGGCGCGAAAGCGUG
rnacentral:rRNA from 1 species